GACGAACGCUGGCGGCGUGCCUAAUGCAUGCAAGUUGAGCGCUGAAGGUUGGUACUUGUACCGACUGGAUGAGCAGCGAACGGGUGAGUAACGCGUGGGGAAUCUGCCUUUGAGCGGGGGACAACAUUUGGAAACGAAUGCUAAUACCGCAUAAAAACUUUAAACACAAGUUUUAAGUUUGAAAGAUGCAAUUGCAUCACUCAAAGAUGAUCCCGCGUUGUAUUAGCUAGUUGGUGAGGUAAAGGCUCACCAAGGCGAUGAUACAUAGCCGACCUGAGAGGGUGAUCGGCCACAUUGGGACUGAGACACGGCCCAAACUCCUACGGGAGGCAGCAGUAGGGAAUCUUCGGCAAUAGACGAAAGUCUGACCGAGCAACGCCGCGUGAGUGAAGAAGGUUUUCGGAUCGUAAAACUCUGUUGGUAGAGAAGAACGUUGGUGAGAGUGGAAAGCUCAUCAAGUGACGGUAACUACCCAGAAAGGGACGGCUAACUACGUG
rnacentral:rRNA from 1 species